rnacentral:rRNA from 1 species
CGCGUGCAGGAUGAAGGCUUAGGGUUGUAAACUGCUUUUGUACGGAACGAAACGGCUCCUUCUAAUACAAGGGGCUAAUGACCNUNCCGUAAGAAUAAGCACCGGCUAACUACGUGCCAGCAGCCGCGGUAAUACGUAGGGUGCGAGCGUUAAUCGGAAUUACUGGGCGUAAAGCGUGCGCAGGCGGUUAUAUAAGACAGAUGUGAAAUCCCCGGGCUCAACCUGGGACCUGCAUUUGUGACUGUAUAGCUAGAGUACGGUAGAGGGGGAUGGAAUUCCGCGUGUACAGUGAAAUGCGUAGAUAUGCGGAGGAACACCGAUGGCGAAGGCAAUCCCCUGGACCUGUACUGACGCUCAUGCACGAAAGCGUGGGGAGCAAACAGGAUUAGAUACCUGGUAGUCCAGCCCUAAACGAUGUCAACUGGUUGUUGGGUCUUCCUGACUCA